GUGCCUUUAGCUCAGUGGGAGUAGCGUUCGACUGAAGUAACACUUCAGUCAAACAAUCGAAAGGUCGCCUGUUCGAUCCAGGCAAGGCACA
rnacentral:tRNA from 1 species